GACGAACGCUGGCGGCGUGCUUAACACAUGCAAGUCGAACGGAAAGGCCCUGCUUUUGUGGGGUGCUCGAGUGGCGAACGGGUGAGUAACACGUGAGUAACCUGCCCUUGACUUUGGGAUAACUUCAGGAAACUGGGGCUAAUACCGGAUAGGAGCUCCUGCUGCAUGGUGGGGGUUGGAAAGUUUCGGCGGUUGGGGAUGGACUCGCGGCUUAUCAGCUUGUUGGUGGGGUAGUGGCUUACCAAGGCUUUGACGGGUAGCCGGCCUGAGAGGGUGGCCGGCCACAUUGGGACUGAGAUACGGCCCAGACUCCUACGGGAGGCAGAAGUGGGGAAUAUUGCACAGUGGGCGGAAGCCUGAUGCAGCAGCGCCGCGUGCGGGAUGACGGCCUUCGGGUUGUAAACCGCUUUCGCCUGUAACGAAGCGUGAGUGACGGUAAUGGGUAAAGAAGCACCGGCUAACUACGUG
rnacentral:rRNA from 1 species